CGGAAGGAUCAUUAAUGAUUAACUGUCUGUCGAGCUUGCUCACAGACUUAUCAUAUCCAUAACACCUGUGCACUUGUCGGAUGGCUUAGUGAAGACCGCAAGGUUGGAACUAUCCAUCUACUUUACAUAACAAUUUAGUAACAAAUGUAGUCUUAUUAUAACAUAAUAAAACUUUCAACAACGGAUCUCUUGGCUCUCGCAUCGAUGAAGAACGCAGCGAAAUGCGAUAAGUAAUGUGAAUUGCAGAAUUCAGUGAAUCAUCGAAUCUUUGAACGCACCUUGCGCUCCCUGGUAUUCCGGGGAGCAUGCCUGUUUGAGUGUCAUGAAAACCCUCAACCUUAGAUUGGUUAACACCUUUCUUUGGCUUGGAUUUGGACGUUUGCCGAUGAUAAGUCGGCUCGUCUUAAAAGUAAUAGCUGGAUCUGUCUCGCGACAUGGUUUGACUUGGCGUAAUAAGUAUUUCGCUAAGGACAUCUUCGGAUGGCCGCGUUGCAAGACUAAAGACCGCUUUCUAAUCCAUUGAUCUUCGGAUUAAUAUUCUUGACAUCUGGCCUCAAAUCAGGUAGGACUACCCGCUGAACUUAAGCAUACAAAACGGGGGGAAA
rnacentral:misc_RNA from 1 species